GGGCCUCACUUCGAGCGGUAUUCAACGACUAUCUCAACCGAUAUACAUACCAACCGAGUUGAUAUGUUGUUUGAAUGCCCCUUGAACUCGAGGCCC
rnacentral:pre_miRNA from 14 species